CCUAAGGGAGGCAGCAGUGGGGAAUAUUGCGCAAUGGGCGAAAGCCUGACGCAGCGACGCCGCGUGCGGGAUGACGGUCUUCGGAUCGUAAACCUCCGUCAGCAGGGAAGUACGGUCACUGUGCUAAUCAGCAGUGAAUUUACGGUACCUGCAAGGGACGCACCGGCUAACUCCAUGCCAGCAGCCGCGGUAAUACGGAGGGUGCGAGCGGUAAUCGGAAUUACUGGGCGUAAAGCGCUCGUAGUCGGUAUGUCAAGUCAAGGGUGAAAUCCCCGCGCUCAACGUGGGAACUGCCUUUGAAACUGGCAAACUGGAGUGUGUGAGAGGAUGGUGGAAUGCCAGGUGUAGGAGUGAAAUCCGUAGAGAUCU
rnacentral:rRNA from 1 species